CUGGCCAGACCGCCUUCCCCUAAUGAAGCCCUUCUUGAGAACAGGCCAAAGCCAGGAUGACAUCCAGGGGCCUGCUCAGUCAUGGAAUAACUGACCUGGCUGUGCCCCGGCCAAGCAGUCAUCUCCCAGUCCGGCCUGGCGGUUCUGGGCAGCUCUGUUUGGUGUUCAUGGCUCCCGAGGGCUAAGACAUUUGGGAAAAAUGAAUCCAAGGAAGCCCUAAAAUAAAUGAGGGCACAGCCAAGAGCAGCGCCCCUUUCCCUCACUUGGGGACUGGGGGACAGCUGGCAGGGGGGGUAGAUAAUCACCUGUGAGACCCAGAAUGUGAGAGAAUGACAGAUUUGUCUAUUGCACCUGCCCUGCCUGCCAGGCUCACUGCUGAGAGCUCAGGCCAGUGCUGCCGUGGCUGUGGCCACCUUGGAGGUGAGAAGUGGCACAGUGGGGACUCCAGCCAGCCCUGUCUGACUGCAAAGCUCUGCAUGUCUCCGUUAUGCAGAGCUCGGACCAUUCACUCCAACCAGCCCGCUCAUUAUAGCAACACAAGAACUAAGAGUCCCUGGGUACUUCCUGCCUGCACCAGGGGCUUCUCAGCUUACUCCCAGAUUUCUAAUAUGUCAUCUCAUUGCAGCUGAUGACAUCCCUCCAAGACAGAGAAUCUAGGCCUUCCUUGAAAAGGGAAAUUUAAAGUGAGAGAGCAGCUCUCCUGCUGGUCUUGAAGAAGCAAGAUUCCAGGAGUUCUGCAUCUACAAGGAAAUGAUUUCUACCAAGAACCACAUGAGCUUGGAAGGAUCUCGAGCCCAGAGGAGACCUCAGCCCCAGCAAUACCUCGGUUGCAACCUUGUGAGAUCCUGAGCAGAAGACUCCAGCUCAGCUGUGCCCAGACUCAUGCCCCACAGACAGUGUGACAUAAUGAAUGUGUUUUGAGCCUUUAAAUUUGCGGUAAUUUGUUACAUAGCAAGAGAAAGCAAAUACACGUGUGAUCACCAAUCAAGUAGACUUGCCUUAACAUCCACGCUGUGGCCAUUCCGACCCCCUUUGUGAACUCCUUUCUGGUAUUUACAGUCUACACAUGCA
rnacentral:lncRNA from 10 species